AAAAACAGUCCCUUACAUGAACACAAUAAACACAAGGACUCAAAAAAUAGAUGAACAGUCUCUUACAUGAACACAAUAAACACAAGGACUCAAUCAAUAGAAGCAGCAGACAUUACUAAUCAUAAACAGGUGUGUUCUACUGCUGUGUUUUUCCCCACAGAACACAAGGAAUCAAUACUCAGUUUAAAGUGAUCACAACAUGAUCUAUAGCUUUUCGACCGCUUGCAUUACGAAUAUAAUAUAAAAUCUGCUUUACAUCAUGUGAGGCUUAUCAAAAUAUAAACUGAUAUCAGACCCCCGCAGUAUGAAACUGUUAACGUCUGAAAAUAGACACAAUAUUGUAGCAUAAAAAUGUUACAAUUUACCACCAAUCAAUCAGAAACAUUAGAAAUAUAGUCUUUGUAAAGAUUUAAAAAAUCUCUUCCUUUCAUGGUUAAUCAAGAUCAACUUUAAGAAGCCCCAGAAAAUGUAGCAUUUGGAUUAUAGUUGAGUACAUGAAUAUAAAUCAUCAAAACACAGUGUGUGUGUGUGUGUGUUUAUAUAUACAUGUGUGUGUAGUCUGUGCGUGUCUGUGUUCAUAUGUGAGUAAGUGUGUGUGUUCAUAACUUGAGUAAGUGUGUUCAUAGAUGCACGUGCGGCGUGUGCAUGUGUGUGUCUGCGUGUAUAUUUGAGUGUUUAUAAUAUGUACGCGCGUGUGUGUGUUCAUAUAUAUACGUGUUUGUUUGUGUUCACAUACACGUGUUUGUGUGGCUGCGUGUUUGGGUUCCUAUAUAGUAUAGUAUGUUUAUAUGUGUGUGUCUUUAUGUUAAUUCAUAUAUGCGUGUGUGCGCUUGCAUGUGUGUGCGUGGUAAUAUACGCGUGUGUGUGUGUUCACAUGUGCAUGUUUGUGUUCACGUGUGUCAUCAGACUCAGAGCGAGAGCAAGAGCGAGAGAGACUAUAAUUUACAGAGACGCUGAGGACACAAGGUGUGGAUAAAAAAGUGAACCAAACGUCCGAGAUCAAAACGGGGAACAUUAUCCCCGAAAAGGGGGGGAAAACUAAUCUCCAGUGUGACUACCAAUCAGAUUGAAGAACCCAUCCGAGGCUACAGCAUUCCAGCAUUCGAGGCUAUAGCCACGGAUCUUUUAGGAAUAGCCCCGGAUCGCU